rnacentral:lncRNA from 1 species
UAGGUUUUGAUUAGGAUUUGAUUUAGGUUUUAGGAUUAUUCUAAGAUUUUAUUAAGGUUUCAGGAUUUAUUUUGGACUUAGGAUUUAUCUAAGGUUUGAUUUAGGAUUUAGAUUUUGUUUAGGAUUUAAUUUAGAAUUUAGGAUUUUUUUAGGAUUUGAUUUAGGAUUUAGGAUUUGUUUAAAACUUAGGAUUUGUCUAAGGUUUGGUUUAAGGUUUAGAAUUUUUUUUGGAAUUUGGUUUAAGAUUUAAAAUUUGUCUAAGAUUUGGUUUACAAUCUAGGAUUUGUUUAAGGCUUAGGAUUUAUCUAAGGUUUGAUUUAGGAUUUAGGAUUUAAGAUUUAUCUAAGAUUUGAUAUAAGAUUUAGAUUUUAGUUAGGAUUUGACAUAGGAUUUAAUUAAGAUCCAUUAUAGUUUUAAUUAGGAUUAAAGUAGGAAUUGAUUAAAAUUUAUUUAAGAUUUAUUUAAUAUUUUUCUAAUAUUUCUUGUGGAUUUCUUUUGGAUUUCUUUAAGAUUUCUUUAAGGUCUAUUUAUUAUUUUUUUAUGAUUUCUUUAUAAUUUUUGUAGAAGUUUUUAAAGAUUUCUUCAUGUUUCUUUUGUAAUUUUUUU